UAUAAUUUAAAGUAAGACCUGCCCACUGAAAUUUUAAAGGGCCGCAGUAUUUUGACUGUGCAAAGGUAGCAUAAUCAUUAGUUUUUUAAUUGAAAGCUUGUAUGAAAGGUUAAAUGAGAAAAAAUCUGUCUCAAAUUUAAAUUAAAAUUUUAUUUUUAAGUUAAAAAGCUUAAAUAUAUUAAAAAGACGAGAAGACCCUAUAGAGUUUUAUUUAAAAUUUAUAUUAAUUAAAGAAAUUAAAUAUAAAUUAUAAAUUUUAUUGGGGUGAUAAAAAAAUUAAAAUAACUUUUUUUUUAUAAAUACAUUAAUUUAUG
rnacentral:rRNA from 1 species